AGAGUUUGAUCCUGGCUCAGAACGAACGCUGGCGGUAUGCUUAACACAUGCAAGUCGAACGAACAAAAUUGGAGCUUGCUCCAAUUUUAGUGAGUGGCAAACGGGUGAGUAACACGUGGGAAUCUACCUAUCAGUACGGAAUAACAUUUGGAAACAGAUGCUAAUACCGUAUAUUCUCCAAGGAGGAAAGAUUUAUCGCUGAUAGAUGAGCCCGCGUAAGAUUAGGUAGUUGGUAGGGUAAUGGCCUACCAAGCCGACGAUCUUUAGCUGGUCUGAGAGGAUGAUCAGCCACACUGGGACUGAGACACGGCCCAGACUCCUACGGGAGGCAGCAGUGGGGAAUAUUGGACAAUGGGCGAAAGCCUGAUCCAGCAAUACCGCGUGAAUGAUGAAGGCCUUAGGGUUGUAAAGUUCUUUUAGUUGGAAAGAUAAUGACGGUACCAACAGAAAAAGCCCCGGCUAACUCCGUGCCAGCCGCCGCGGU
rnacentral:rRNA from 1 species